rnacentral:tRNA from 1 species
GGGCUGUAGCUCAGUUGGGAGAGCGCCUGCUUUGCAAGCAGGAGGCCGUCGGUUCGAUCCCGAUCAGCUCC